rnacentral:rRNA from 1 species
GAUGAACGCUGGCGGCGUGCCUAAUACAUGCAAGUCGAGCGAACGGACGAGAAGCUUGCUUCUCUGAUGUUAGCGGCGGACGGGUGAGUAACACGUGGAUAACCUACCUAUAAGACUGGGAUAACUUCGGGAAACCGGAGCUAAUACCGGAUAAUAUUUUGAACCGCAUGGUUCAAAAGUGAAAGACGGUCUUGCUGUCACUUAUAGAUGGAUCCGCGCUGCAUUAGCUAGUUGGUAAGGUAACGGCUUACCAAGGCAACGAUGCAUAGCCGACCUGAGAGGGUGAUCGGCCACACUGGAACUGAGACACGGUCCAGACUCCUACGGGAGGCAGCAGUAGGGAAUCUUCCGCAAUGGGCGAAAGCCUGACGGAGCAACGCCGCGUGAGUGAUGAAGGUCUUCGGAUCGUAAAACUCUGUUAUUAGGGAAGAACAUAUGUGUAAGUAACUGUGCACAUCUUGACGGUACCUAAUCAGAAAGCCACGGCUAACUACGUGCCAGCAGCCGCGGUAAUACGUAGGUGGCAAGCGUUAUCCGGAAUUAUUGGGCGUAAAGCGCGCGUAGGCGGUUUUUUAAGUCUGAUGUGAAAGCCCACGGCUCAACCGUGGAGGGUCAUUGGAAACUGGAAAACUUGAGUGCAGAAGAGGAAAGUGGAAUUCCAUGUGUAGCGGUGAAAUGCGCAGAGAUAUGGAGGAACACCAGUGGCGAAGGCGACUUUCUGGUCUGUAACUGACGCUGAUGUGCGAAAGCGUGGGGAUCAAACAGGAUUAGAUACCCUGGUAGUCCACGCCGUAAACGAUGAGUGCUAAGUGUUAGGGGGUUUCCGCCCCUUAGUGCUGCAGCUAACGCAUUAAGCACUCCGCCUGGGGAGUACGACCGCAAGGUUGAAACUCAAAGGAAUUGACGGGGACCCGCACAAGCGGUGGAGCAUGUGGUUUAAUUCGAAGCAACGCGAAGAACCUUACCAAAUCUUGACAUCCUUUGACAACUCUAGAGAUAGAGCUUUCCCCUUCGGGGGACAAAGUGACAGGUGGUGCAUGGUUGUCGUCAGCUCGUGUCGUGAGAUGUUGGGUUAAGUCCCGCAACGAGCGCAACCCUUAAGCUUAGUUGCCAUCAUUAAGUUGGGCACUCUAAGUUGACUGCCGGUGACAAACCGGAGGAAGGUGGGGAUGACGUCAAAUCAUCAUGCCCCUUAUGAUUUGGGCUACACACGUGCUACAAUGGACAAUACAAAGGGCAGCGAAACCGCGAGGUCAAGCAAAUCCCAUAAAGUUGUUCUCAGUUCGGAUUGUAGUCUGCAACUCGACUACAUGGAGCUGGAAUCGCUAGUAAUCGUAGAUCAGCAUGCUACGGUGAAUACGUUCCCGGGUCU